rnacentral:rRNA from 1 species
GAUGAACGCUGGCGGCGUGCCUAAUACAUGCAAGUCGAGCGAAUGGAUUAAGAGCUUGCUCUUAUGAAGUUAGCGGCGGACGGGUGAGUAACACGUGGGUAACCUGCCCAUAAGACUGGGAUAACUCCGGGAAACCGGGGCUAAUACCGGAUAACAUUUUGAACCGCAUGGUUCGAAAUUGAAAGGCGGCUUCGGCUGUCACUUAUGGAUGGACUCGCGUCGCAUUAGCUAGUUGGUGAGGUAACGGCUCACCAAGGCAACGAUGCGUAGCCGACCAGAGAGGGUGAUCGGCCACACUGGGACUGAGACACGGCCCAGACUCCUACGGGAGGCAGCAGUAGGGAAUCUUCCGCAAUGGACAAAAGUCUGACGGAGCAACGCCGCGUGAGUGAUGAAGGCUUUCGGGUCGUAAAACUCUGUUGUUAGGGAAGAACAAGUGCUAGUUGAAUAAGCUGGCGCCUUGACGGUACCUAACCAGAAAGCCACGGCUAACUACGUGCCAGCCGCCGCAGUAA